rnacentral:misc_RNA from 1 species
UUAAAGAGUCUAGCUCAACUAGAUAAGAGCAGUGGAAACUACAAAGCUAGAGUUUGGUCGGGGCAGAAGGAAUUCCUGGUGUAGCGGUGAAAUGCGUAGAUAUCAGGAAGAACACCGGUGGCGAAGGCGUUCUGCUAGGCCGAGACUGACACUGAGGGACGAAAGCUAGGGGAGCGAAUGGGAUUAGAUACCCCAGUAGUCCUAGCCGUAAACGAUGGAUACUAGGCGUAGCUCGUAUCGACCCGAGCUGUGCCGGAGCUAACGCGUUAAGUAUCCCGCCUGGGGAGUACGCAGGCAACUGUGAAACUCAAAGGAAUUGACGGGGGCCCGCACAAGCGGUGGAGUAUGUGGUUUAAUUCGAUGCAACGCGAAGAACCUUACCAUAGGCUUGACAUGUCACGAAUCUUGUAGAAAUAUAGGAGUGCCUUCGGGAGCGUGAACACAGGUGGUGCAUGGCUGUCGUCAGCUCGUGUCGUGAGCUGUUGGGUUAAGUCCCGCAACGAGCGCAACCCUCGUUUUUAGUUGCCAGCAUUAGGUUGGGCACUCUAGAGAGACUGCCGGUGACAAACCGGAGGAAGGUGGGGAUGACGUCAAGUCAGCAUGCCCCUUACGUCUUGGGCUACACACGUACUACAAUGCUACGGACAAAGGGCAGCUACACAGCGAUGUGAUGCGAAUCUCAUAAACCGUAGCUCAGUUCAGAUCGAAGGCUGCAACUCGCCUUCGUGAAGGAGGAAUCGCUAGUAAUUGCAGGUCAGCAUACUGCAGUGAAUUCGUUCCCGGGCCUUGUACACACCGCCCGUCACACCAUGGAAGUUGGUCACGCCCGAAGUCGUUACCCCAACCGAGAGGAGGGGGAUGCCUAAGGUAGGACUGAUGACUGGGGUGAAGUCGUAACAAGGUAGCCGUACCGGAAGGUGUGGCUGGAUCACCUCCUUUUAGGGAGACCUAAUCCAUUUAGAAAUCGAAAACAAUGAAAAUUGUCAAUAGAAACUAAAUUGGUCUAACCUAGGUCGUUCGAGAUUGGUAGACAUCUUUCAAAGUAUUAUUCGGCUUUGUUCAAAACCAUAUAUAAUAAAUGGAAAAAAGACAGCACCUAAUUGUCAAAGUUAGACUGCUGGAUGAAAUUCCAGCCAGAACCUUGAAAACUGCAUAAGAGAACGAGA